GUUGCCUUGUUUAAGUCUCUUUGGGUGUUGUUGAGGAAUCAGCUUAGUUUCUGUGUUUCUUUAUAGAAGCAUGAAGCUGUAUUAGUGUCCUCUUGAUGAGCUAAUGCAAAUGUCAUGUGAUGUUGGGAUCACAUGGGGUAAAUGGUCUCCAUUUUAAUGUGUUUUGUGGGAUAUUGACUUCAACCCUAAAUCUUCUUUGUAGUCUUCCCUGCCGUCACUGAUAUGGUUCACUGCACCACCAGUAGGGCAAAGACCUGGUGGGAAACCUAGACCAUAUGGUGCAAAGAUAUGGCGAGGCUAGUGAUCUGUGGUUUUAUUAAACCUGAGGUUUUGUAAAGAGGACUAAAGAUAGAUGAAAUGAAGGGUUGCUGUACGGCAAUGAAUAAACAUCUAGAAAUGAAGAAGGUCAAAUGCUGCAGAGGAAAUCGAGAAGACAGAAAAUAUUUCGUAGUCAGGUACUGAAUCUUGAAGAGCACUCCCUUUCUGUGUGGGAAAGGUAUCUCCGACUCCGAAAUCUUGCUCAUCAUUCCUCCAUAUGGGUUG
rnacentral:lncRNA from 1 species